CCCUGUGGAGUUUUACCCCCUGCAUCUCUGGCCACCCUCUCAGUGGAUCCCUGUGGUGCCAGGCAGGAAUGGGCUGCAGGGGCACCCAGCGAGCUUCCAGGGCCUUUCUGCCGCUUCCUCUACCCCUGUUUUUCGCUUGGCUCUCUAACUUGACUCAGCUUCAGCAGCCACAGGAAAUUAAUAUAACUGCGAAGGAAAAGAUUUCCCCUGCUCGAGUCUCCCUGCACUCCUACCCAUCUGAGAGAAACAGAACUGUUGAGUAGCUGAUGCAAUUUCAUCCAUAAUAUUGUGGAUUCACCAUUGAUUCAGCAUCUGAUCCUCAGCACUGUAUAUCUAAGAACUCAUUCUCCUUGGUUCAUCAGGCAUGAUCAGAUUAAGGAUUCAUACACACUGACCUAACUCACAGGAGAGAGUUAUAAAUCAGAACACCAAUUUAUUGCCUUGUUCAUGGAAAUAGAAACACUACAUGUGUCAGCUUACUCAGAUCAGCAGCUAAACACUGUUCAGUGUUGAUUGGGAAAUAUAAAGCCAGAAUGAAGGCAGCUGGUUCAUCUUGAUAGCAAAUGUUACCAAAUCUCAUAGUCUGGUGCCCUAAUCUCCAUGGGAUUAGAACAUGUACAUCGACCAGAGAGGUUCUCUUUCUCCUGACUAUGCUGGGACAUUCUGGCAAAUUCUGACUCAUCACUCCCUUUCUAGAAUCCUUAAAGACCAUCAUCACGCUAUUUCAAGAAUAUUCCUUCAGAUGUGUUACAAAGAUUAAAUGUUGAUUUAUGGUAUCUCUAAA